GGCUGGUCUGGAAAAGUGAGUUAUCUUAAUUGAUUGUUCAGUAUAGAUCAAACUCCUUGUUCUACUCUUUUCCCUCUUCCCACUACAGUAUUUGACUAGUCUUAA
rnacentral:Y_RNA from 1 species